rnacentral:rRNA from 1 species
GUGCAGCAGUCGCGAAACUUUACAAUGUGCGAAAGCACGAUAAGGGAACUCCGAGUGCCUCCUAAGGAGGCUGUUCAGGUGUCUAAAAGCACCUGAAGGAAGGGCUGGGUAAGACCGGUGCCAGCCGCCGCGGUAACACCGGCAGCCCAAGUGGUAGCCACGUUUAUUGGGUCUAAAGCGUCCGUAGCCGGCUGGGUAAGUUCCUUGGGAAAUUUGGCUGCUCAACAGUCAAGCUUUCAGGGAAUACUGCCCGGCUUGGGACCGGGAGAGGUCAGAGGUACUCCAGGGGUAGGGGUGAAAUCCAUUAAUCCUUGGGGGACCACCGGUAGCGAAGGCGUCUGACCAGACCGGGUCCGACGGUGAGGGACGAAGGCUAGGGGCGCGAACCGGAUUAGAUACCCGUGUAGU